AUUCGUCAACUCGCAUCAGCCAUAUCGGCGUCGAGCAGGAGAUGUAGACUGGAUGGAGUAUAUUGCAGCUGCAGGUACGUAUCAGGCAGUUUGCUGGCUAGUUGCUCAAGCGGCAGAGUAACGAUGUAGUCAGGUGUACCUUCUUUACAUUUUCGUUGUUAGAAGACGAUGUAAGGAGCUAAGGUAUCCUAAUUGCAACAGCAUAUGAGAAAUGAAAGGACCAGGACUACCACUGAAUCUGGGGUGUGACAUCUAAUGUCGCAGAGUGGGACUGUCACAGAGCUUUGUCUACGAUAUUUUAGUCUCUCGAACUUGUUGAGGCAAUGGCAAUUGUUGAUCUGUAGACUUGGCUUGACGUAGUCUGCAAUAUGAACAUCUUUAGUUGUAAUUAGAUGUGAACGUUUUAGUUCGUGUCUUGUCUGACUUGUUUGUGGGCGGUC